GACAGAGGGUGCAAACGUUGUUCGGAAUUACUGGGCGUAAAGCGCGUGUAGGCUGCUUCGAAAGUCGGAUGUGAAAGCCCUGGGCUCAACCUAGGAAGUGCAUUCGAAACUUCGAAGCUUGAGUUCUGGAGAGGAAGGCGGAAUUCUCGGUGUAGAGGUGAAAUUCGUAGAUAUCUGGAGGAAUACCGGUGGCGAAGGCGGCAUCCUGGACCGGCAUUGACGCUGAGGAGCGAAAGCCAGGGGAGCAAACGGG
rnacentral:rRNA from 1 species